CAAACACAUGUCUUUUUGGUUAUUUAAUAUAAUGUCUAGCCUGCCCACUGAAUUUAAUUUUGAAGGGCCGCAGUAUUUUGACUGCGCAAAGGUAGCAUAAUCAUUAGUCUUUUAAUUGGAGGCUGGUAUGAAUGGUUGGAUGAGGUACAAGCUGUGUCAUAAAAAUUAAUAUUUGAAUUUAACUUUUUAGUCAAAAGGCUAAAAUUAAAUUAAAAGACGAGAAGACCCUAUAGAGCUUUAUAUAAUAAUUAUUUAAUUUAUUAAGAUUUAUUAAAUUUAAUUAUUUGAUUAUAUUUUGUUGGGGUGACAGUAAAAUUAAAAAAACUUUUAUUAUUAAUUUACAUUUAUUUAUGGUUAAAUGA
rnacentral:rRNA from 1 species